GCAUAAGAAAAUCUCUACUCUCUAGAAUCCAUUUUUAGAUAUAUUAUUAUCUCUAGAUAUACCAUAUCUCUAGUUCCCAACUCUAGAGAUACUAUUGUAUCAUUUACAACUGGCUAUUACAAGUGGGUAAAGUGUAAAAAGGGGAAGCAGCGGUUAUAGGAAAAUGUGGUUUCAUUGGCUUUGCAGACCUGGGAGUUUUCAUGCUAUGUAACUUACCUAUUUUGUGGCCAGAAAGCUGCAGGAUUUGCCCGGCUUCAGCCCAAGCACCAGGGCUACUGUCUGGCAGUGAGUGCAGACAGCUUCUCCAGGUUGUUUCUUAGCCAGCAGAGCUCAGAGACACAGAAGAACUGCAGGAUUCUUCACCUGUCCUAAAGCACCUUCCAUGUGUUCCUGCAACAGAAUAUCUCCAUUUUACCUUGGGCCUUUGCAGGCAUAUUGGGAGCAGCAGAAUUUAACCUGAGUAUGUUAGAAGUGAUUGUGUUUAUUAGUACAACCUAAGUAGAUUGGAAAAACUAAUUAAUUGCAAUUUACUAUAAGUGUCUCUAACAGACUUCCUUGAAAGUAUUUAUCCUGAAGUGAAAGUCGUUUGAUUUAGUUAAUGUUUAUUGUAAGCAUAUGCAGACCAUCUUCCAGGGGAAAAUGUAUUUUUGAGUACUCCAGACAAUUGAAACUAGUGAGGCCACUGUCUGGAGAAAGCAUCUGUAACCGCAGCCAAAAGAGGAACAAGAUUUCUGACAUUCUUUCAAGACACGUGUUUGAAGCAUGGGCUCCCAUCACUUUCAGAGUGACUUGCAGACCAUUUUCUUUAUAUAGAUUUAGACAAGUCAGGGUGGGCCUGGAUUCAUCUUGAUAAAAGCCUUUGUGGUUUCUCCUCAUCCUUUUUCUCCUAUAUUAUUGCUUAUUUCAAUUAAGAAUAUGUUGUCGAGAAACUCCAAAGGGGACAAAGCAUAGUUUUGGACUGGUUUUAUCACUUGUAUUUCUCCAGUCUUACAUGUUGAUUACUAGGGUGCAUCUCCUUCAAAAACAAGAUACAGUUUUGCUGAAUAUACUUCAUAUACUGUAAUAAACAGGAACUUCACAUGAAUGCUGAUUUUAGCUCCAGGCUGUGGCUACACGUUUUAGUAGUGUAGCAAGCUUACCAACAAACCUUUCCUUCCCCACCCUACACCCUUCCCUUUUUACGAUGAACAGAUUUUUAUCUGGCUGUCUUGUGACUUGGGUAUUUUUACAGCAGGUUUAGGAACUUGUCAAAUAUUUGGAAAUUUGAGAAUGAAAACAAACCAAAAGCUUUAAAAAAAUGGUAUUUUAUACAGUAUGCACCAACUAGAUAAGAUUUUGACUUGCUGAAGUACAUACAGGAUUCUAUUGUCAGACCUACCUCUCAUUACUUUAGUAAAAGUUAUCAGUCUGAUUCCUUUUUUUUAAUGCUCCAAGGCACUAACUCCACUGAGGUGCCAAAUCAACGAAGCUUUAAGACCCUCUCUUCAUUUCUGAACUACUAUAACCUCUUGUCAAAAGGCAAUACGAAUAUUCAUAUUGUUAUUAAUUCAUUUGAGCAUUUCAAGUCUGUCUCUUUUCCUCCUGUUUCCAAGAUGUUACUGACUGACAUAAUCUAGCAGUGACAUCACUGUUACAUAAACAUCAGUGGGCAAGAAAAUGAGAUAAGUGUAAGCUCUAGUGGCUGCGCUGAACUGCCUAUUACAGAGACAUUAGGGAGGAAGAACAACUGUACAACACUGUGAAAGUGCUUUUUUGCAGCCAGGCCUCCAACUCUUACCAAGUGUGCUAAUGACUGUGAAGGGUGCUCUUUGAAAAAAAAACAUGGGUUACAAGAAGUAUUAAAUGUGUGUGGAGAAACAUCUUGGUGAGUUAACAUCCAGUAAAGAAUGCUGGGCACUUGGUGAUUGUGUUUGGUGAUCCAGUUAGGAGUUUUACAAAAGCAGUCACCGUCCUUUCGACUUGUGACUUCCCCAGUCGUUUUCCUUUUUUAAGUCCCUAAUUUAACAAAACACUUAUCUGUCUCUCCCUGAAAAUUUCUGACUGUGGAAACACAGCUCACAAGGUCUGGAAGACUUCUGGAUCAUUACUGCCUUCUGCUUCCUUUCCUUGUCUGCAAGUGAUGGGUUAUAACAGGUCAGCUGCAGAAUGGAAAAUGUGGCAGUAAAUUGUGGGGUAUAGACAGACAUACCCCAGACUUGUGGCACCCAUUAAUAGAUCAAGCAAGCCUGUGCAGCUGUGUUUUGAUCAGUCGAAAGGUUUCCUGGCAUCUGAGAACCAAAAUCACCUUUUGGAUGUGACAAGUGCAUCUGAGUAUCUAGCAAGUGAAAAUCAAGGGUUUCUGUAAGGAAGGAGUAAGAACACCUACCACAAAAAAUUAAAAGUCAUCACACCUCGCUGGAGGUUUCCCUGGUUUAAUGAGCAACUCAGAAAAUAUAGAGGACAAGAUGAUGCGGGUCCUUGUACAUUCUUGUAUUUGAAAGCUUCUCCAUAGCAUCUGCAAGAGGAUUUUUGGCACCUGCCUUGUUAAACUGGUUGUCCAAUAUUAUCUCUCCAGGCAAGUAAGAUCCUGGCAAUCAUUAUCAUCCUGUUUCACUUGUUCUCAGUCUU